AUAACGGUCCUUUUCAGGACCACCUUUAUUCUCAUGAUUGUUAGCU
rfam:Octopus bimaculoides Scaffold50416_contig_17, whole genome shotgun sequence.